rnacentral:rRNA from 1 species
GGGGACCAUCCUCCAAGGCUAAAUACUCCUGACUGACCGAUAGUGAACCAGUACCGUGAGGGAAAGGCGAAAAGAACCCCGGCGAGGGGAGUGAAAAAGAACCUGAAACCGUGUACGUACAAGCAGUGGGAGCACAGGUUUACCUGUGUGACUGCGUACCUUUUGUAUAAUGGGUCAGCGACUUAUAUUCUGUAGCAAGGUUAACCGUAUAGGGGAGCCGAAGGGAAACCGAGUCUUAACCGGGCGUUAAGUUGCAGGGUAUAGACCCGAAACCCGGUGAUCUAGCCAUGGGCAGGUUGAAGGUUGGGUAACACUAACUGGAGGACCGAACCGACUAAUGUUGAAAAAUUAGCGGAUGACCUGUGGCUGGGGGUGAAAGGCCAAUCAAACCGGGAGAUAGCUGGUUCUCCCCGAAAGCUAUUUAGGUAGCGCCUCGUGAAUUCAUCUCCGGGGGUAGAGCACUGUUUCGGCUAGGGGGCCAUCCCGGCUUACCAACCCGAUGCAAACUGCGAAUACCGGAGAAUGUUAUCACGGGAGACACACGGCGGGUGCUAACGUCCGUCGUGAAGAGGGAAACAACCCAGACCGCCAGCUAAGGUC